AAUCCUAAGAGUUGUAGUCGAUGUCCGUCUUGUGGUUGGUAGACCAAUUCCUUGUUUACUUUAUUCUUUAUAAUAGUUGAAAAAUGCUAAAAAUUUUACAAAAAUAUUUUCAUCUGCAUUAAUUGAACCCAUUUGUUUGAGAAAAAAAAGUAGAAUAAUAAUCCUGAUGUUUAGUCAUUGAAUUUGUAUAGGGACUACCAAAUGCAGGAAAAUCAAAAUUGUUGGGUUCAGUAACACUUGCAAAACGUGAUAUUGCUGAUUACCCUUUCACAACUUUAAUUUCAAACCUUGGACGGCUGAGGCCACAUAAGCAGAUUUUCCCGGUCUUAUUGAAGGUGCUCAUCUAGGGAAGGGUCAUGGCCGCAAUUUUCUUCGACACUUGAGAAGGACUCGACUGUUAGUUCAUGUUGUUGAUGCAGCCACUCCAGAUCCUUUGACCGACUACAAGACGAUAAGAGAUGCAAAAGAGAGAAUCACAUCAAUGUCUCAAGAAAUUUCAACAAUUGGAAAGGAUGACAAUGGAGAAAUUCUUGUAGAAUCCUUAAAGGAAAUUGAGGAUUACCCGCGACCUCUUGCAGUUGUUGGUGUGAUCGUUUUUAAAUUCAUUAAUUUAGAUGGUAUGUUGAUGGCGAUAAGGACAACGUUAAGGAACUGUCGGGCUGAUGAAAUGUUGGCGUCGGUUGGAAAAGAUAAAAAAAACAUGUAAAAUUGUAAUAUUUGAGAUCCUUGGCCUUGUUCAGAAAUUUAUGUAGAGAAUUAUGUUAAUUGCUUGUAGCUAAGGAGAGUUUUGUGCAAGUAAAAAUAUAUGAGAGGUCUAUUUAGAAUCAUAUAUAGGAGAAUUGUAAUUAUGUUAAUUGCCAUAUUAUUAGCUGUAUCUGAGGUCUUUUUCUGAGAAAUACUUCAUUGACAAGUCUGUUCAUGCCUUAGGUAGGCUUGUUUGAAUCUUAGUCUCU